CGUGGGUCUUCCGAGGCAGCGGAAGACAGGCAGCGUAGUCCUCCGGGCACAUUGCAGUCUCCUGCUCACCACCCCCGCGAUGGACCAGCAGCGGCCCCCGAGGGGCGCGAGAGCAGAAGGCCCCAGCCACAGGUGGCACAGUGGUUAAGAAUCCGCCUGCCAAUGCAGGGGACAUGGAUUCGAUCCCUGCUCCAGGAAGAUCCCACACGCCUCAGAGCAACUAAGCCUAUGCGCCACAACUACUGAGCCUAUGCUCUAGAGCCGGCGAGCCACAACUACUGAGCCCAUGUGCCGCAGCUACUGAAGCCCACGCGCCUGGAGCCUGUGCUCCGCAAUAGGAGAGCUACCGCAAUGAGGAGUCCACGCACCACGUCGAGGAGCGGCCCCCGGUCGCCGCAACUAGAGAAAGCCCAUGUGCAGCAAUGAAGACCCAUGAAGCCAAUAAAUAAAUAAAU